UGUUAUAGAAGAGAGUGGAACGGAUGGUGCAGUUCUCAAACACCGUGUCUGUGGACUUGAUGUCCUCAAAGUGACAGUCUUCAAACAUAAGACGUUGAUGUGGGACAACACCAGAGUACCCGGAGAGAACACACCCAUACACGGGGAGAACAUGCAAACUCUGCACAGAAAGGACCUGACCAGGAAGUGAAGCAUGGACCUUCUUGCGGAGCAACAGGACUAACCCCUGUGCCACCGUGCAGCCCUACUUUUACUGUACUUCAGUAAAUUUUAACCCUGCAUUACCCAAUGCCAGAGAGCAGUCUGAAGAAGAGGAAGAAGCCAUAGCCCUGAGCGAACGAUGACAGGAAGGCAAAGACACAG